CAAAAAAUAGUUUAAAUUAAAAUAUUAAUUUUGGAGAUUAAAGAUAUUGAUUAUUUUUUUGA
rnacentral:tRNA from 1 species